AAGUCGUAACAAGGUUUCCGUAGGUGAACCUGCGGAAGGAUCAUUCUUUUUGUUGGAGAGUUGGUCAUUUAUUGAGAACAAAAGAAAGUGGGAGUGAGAGGGGGAUUCCGUCUCUCUAUUUUUUAUCAAACCAAACAACAAAACACCAAAAACAAAAAAACAAAACUAAAACAAUUA
rnacentral:misc_RNA from 1 species